ACACAUGCAAGUCGAGGGGAAACGACAUCGAAAGCUUGCUUUUGAUGGGCGUCGACCGGCGCACGGGUGAGUAACGCGUAUCCAACCUGCCCACCACUUGGGGAUAACCUUGCGAAAGUAAGACUAAUACCCAAUGACGUCUCUAGAAGACAUCUGAAAGGGAUUAAAGAUUUAUCGGUGAUGGAUGGGGAUGCGUCUGAUUAGCUUGUUGGCGGGGUAACGGCCCACCAAGGCUACGAUCAGUAGGGGUUCUGAGAGGAAGGUCCCCCACAUUGGAACUGAGACACGGUCCAAACUCCUACGGGAGGCAGCAGUGAGGAAUAUUGGUCAAUGGACGAGAGUCUGAACCAGCCAAGUAGCGUGCAGGAUGACGGCCCUAUGGGUUGUAAACUGCUUUUAUAAGGGAAUAAAGUGAGCCUCGUGAGGCUUUUUGCAUGUACCUUAUGAAUAAGGACCGGCUAAUUCCGUGCCAGCAGCCGCGGUAAUACGGAAGGUCCGGGCGUUAUCCGGAUUUAUUGGGUUUAAAGGGAGCGUAGGCCGGAGAUUAAGCGUGUUGUGAAAUGUAGAUGCUCAACAUCUGCACUGCAGCGCGAACUGGUUUCCUUGAGUACGCACAAAGUGGGCGGAAUUCGUGGUGUAGCGGUGAAAUGCUUAGAUAUCACGAAGAACUCCGAUUGCGAAGGCAGCUCACUGGAGCGCAACUGACGCUGAAGCUCGAAAGUGCGGGUAUCGAACAGGAUUAGAUACCCUGGUAGUCCGCAUGGUAAACGAUGGAUGCCCGCUGUUGGUCUGAAUAGGUCAGCGGCCAAGCGAAAGCAUUAAGCAUCCCACCUGGGGAGUACGCCGGCAACGG
rnacentral:rRNA from 1 species